AGUCAAUAGAUACCCAGGUAGUCCAUGCCGUAAACGAUGAUUGCUAGGUGUGGGGGGUCUGACCCCUUCCGUGCCGGAGUUAAACACAAUAAGCAAUCCACCUGGGGAGUACGGCCGCAAGGUUGAAACUCAAAGGAAUUGACGGGGGCCCGCACAAGCAGUGGAGUAUGUGGUUUAAAAUUCGAAGCAACGCGAAGAACCUUACUAGGUCUUGACAUCCACCGAAUCCUGUAGAGAUACGGGAGUGCCCUUCGGGGUAACGGUGAGACAGGUGGUGCAUGGUUGUCGUCAGCUCGUGUCGUGAGAUGUUGGGUUAAGUCCCGCAACGAGCGCAACCCUUGUGAAUAGUUGCUACGAAAGAGCACUCUAUUCAGACCGCCGUUGACAAAACGGAGGAAGGUGGGGUAUGACGUCAAAUCAUCAUGCCCCUUAUGACCUGGGCUACACACGUACUACAAUGGCCGUUAACAGAGGGAUGCAAUGCCGCGAGGUGGAGCGAACCCCGUAAAAAACCGGUUCUCAGUUCAGAUUGCAGGCUGAAACU
rnacentral:rRNA from 1 species